AGCGAACGCUGGCGGCAGGCCUAACACAUGCAAGUCGAGCGCCGUAGCAAUACGGAGCGGCAGACGGGAGAGUAACACGUGGGAACGUGCCCUUCAGUUCGGAACAACCCAGGGAAACUUGGGCUAAUACCGGAUACGCCCUUACGGGGAAAGAUUUAUCGCUGAAGGAUCGGCCCGCUUCUGAUUAGCUUGUUGGUGAGGUAACGGCUCACCAAGGCUACGAUCAGUAGCUGGUCUGAGAGGAUGAUCAGCCUCACUAGGACUGAGACACGGCCCAUACUCAUACAUGAGGCAGCAGUGUGGAAUAUUAGACAAUGGGCGCAAGCCUGAUCCAGCCAUGCCGCGUGAGUGAUGAAGGCCUUAGGGUUGUAAAGCUCUUUCGGCGGGGAAGAUAAUGACGGUACCCGCAGAAGAAGCCCCGGCUAACUUCGUGCCAGCCGCCGCCGUAAGAC
rnacentral:rRNA from 1 species